UACGGGGGGGGCAAGCGUUGUUCGGAAUUACUGGGCGUAAAGGGCCAGUAGGCGGCCAACUAAGUCCGACGUGAAAUCCCAAGGCUUAACCUUGGAACUGCGUCGGAUACUGGAUGGCUUGAAUUCGGGAGAGGGAUGCAGAAUUCCAGGUGUAGCGGUGAAAUGCGUAGAUAUCAGGAGGAACACCGGUGGCGAAGGCGGGUCUCUGGGCAACAACUGACGCUGAGGAGCGAAAGCGUGGGGAGCGAGCAGG
rnacentral:rRNA from 1 species